AUGUUGGUUAGGCUGGUCUUGAACUCCUGACCUCAAGCAAUCCUCCCGCCUCAGCCUCCUAAAGUGCUGGGAUUACAGGUGUGAGCCACUGUGCCCGGCCCCAGUACAUAGAUUCUGACAACACACACUACUUCUUGUGGUUAUUACCUCUGUCUUACUUCAGUGUUCGUGUUUAGAUUUUUCCUCUCCCUCUAAUAUGUUUUAUUGAAAGUAACUUCUUUUAUUAAAUGACACCUCUGAAAUAUGUAGUGCAGUUCCUGUUCUCCUGGCUGGACCCUGACUGAUGCCAUGGGGAAAGCCCUCGGGCUCGUGGACCUUAAAUUCCAGACCAGUGGCCCUUUGUGGCUACACAUUCUCUAACUGAGGCACAACUGACCAGGCUCCAGGUGAAGCUUCUCGGCCUGGUAUGCAGAGAAGACGAAGCCCUUGGGGCAGCCCAGCACCCACCCUUGACAAUACUCCUGCUUCAUUACAGGUCCUGUUGUGCCCAACUCAUGAUUUAUCCAGGUCACACCAGUCUGGUCUGUCACAGUAAGAGGGCCACCAGGAAACACACCUUCAGGAAGCACCUUUUCUGUUCUAUCCCAAAGGGCACCAUCACAUACACUAUAAUAUGAAUCAUGACCCCCGGAGUUGUGUGGAGUUUCUGCAUCUCUCCCUCCCCACUGUGGCUACCCUCAUCCAGCAACCAUCCUGUCUCUCACCGGUAUUACCGCAGCUGAGACCCAGGUCUUAAGGAAGCUGAGACCCAGGCCAGCAGGGGCCUCACAGCUUGGAAAAAGAGGAGGGUGUAAGACUCUGGAUGAAGCUGAGAGAUCCUUCCAUGCUUGGCUGAGAGACUACACAGACAUGAGCUUCAGGAGACUCCAAAGCCUCGGAUCCCCUUCUAAACUAGCACUGAAUUCUGAUUGGCUGUCUUUGCCUGCCUCAGUUUGUUCCUUUUACUGAUUGGCUAGGUUCUUCUGCCCAUGGCAGAGCCCUGCUCCAGCCACCGGAUCCUCCCACCUGCCACAGUGUCACCUGGGAUUGGCUGGGCUCUGAAAGGCCAGGCUGGCUUGACUCUUGCCAUCAUCAGAUUCUUCCUCAUUAAACAAAUGAAUCACAAUCCUAAUUAAUUUGAGCAACAGAAUUUAUGUAACUACUCCCAGCAGGAUGUCUGCUCUCAGUCAGCAGAGAGAUUACUUCCUCUCUCUGGGAAAUUCCAGCCUUGCUGGUCAAUAAGCCUUAAUGAUGACUGAAAUCUCCCAUCUGUCUCUGCUCAGGGCAGGUAACCCCUACUAAGCAGACACCCAGUUGGCUCGAGGCAGUACCCCGGGCACCGGCAGGACAAGGACAACGAUCUCCCAGCCUAGAUGUGUCCUGAGCCACAUGGAGCACACAGUAGGUGUUUACUUAAGGACAGGGGCUGCCCCUUCCAGGGAAGUUCUGAACCACUUAAAACCCACAGGAAGUGUUCAAUGUCUACUUAUGGAAUAAAUGAAAGGGAGGAUGUGUCACUCAGAUACUUAUAAAAUGGUCUCAAGAUCCUAAACUCCAAGCAAGCUUCUCCAGCUCUUUCCAGCCUUUGCUCCCCCUAUUUCCCAUGACCAUAACCCAAUUCUGUCUUUUUCCUAUUUUGAACUUUCCAGACUCAGAAAUUUGGCUCUUCAUGUUCCCUGCCCUUGAACCGUCCCAGCCCUCUCUCCAAAACAGGCUUCAUGCUGGCUGCAUGGGAGGGAGGGGUAGCAAAGUGGAAAGUGUUACAGAAUUAGUGCUAAUUCUGGCUUUGUCACUUACUCAUUGUACUUCACCUCUCUGUUCUUAACUUUUCUCUCAUACAUAAACCACACGGGGUUCUUGGGAAGAUUAAAUAAGAAAACAUGGUGAAAAUGUAUUGCACAGUACUUGACUCAUUUAAUUGGUGACAGACAGUGUUUUAGGUAAUGGAGAUACAGUGGUGCUCAAGGCAGGCAAGAUUCCUGCUCCCAAAGAAUUUAAUUUCCAGGAGACAAGAAGCAAGCUAGCAAAUGUAUAAGAUAAUAGUUAGGGAACAGUACUCAGCAAAAAUAAAAAAUGUAUGGAGAGGGACUGAGGGGAGUGAGGAACUCUUUGAGGAGGUGCCACUCUGAGACCCAAAUGACAAGAAGGAAUUAACCACAUGACAUUCUAGAAAGAGGGAAAAGAGUUGCUGUUAAGAAGAUGUGGGUGUGUUAAAAAAAAAUUGCAAAGUCCCUUAGGUACGAUUGAGCUGCUAAUGAUCAAUCUGAGGCUUCUGCUCUGUGUCUUAUAGGUAAACGGGGUAAGGUUUGGUAGGACUGAAAAAUUCAUCCAGCCACCUAUCUAGGGGGUGUGAGGGUCAAGAUGUGGACCCAGGUCUUCUGCCCUUAAGAGCAGAGUGCUUGUCACUACAGCACAAAGAAGGUGCAAGAGAAAGGAAAAGUGAGUGGGAGGCGGUGAGGGAGGAACAGACUGCCUUGUCCUCCACCAGAUCUAAAUCUGUCUCCUCCUGAUGGUUGGCAGGAUUACAGGAUCUGACUCCCAUUUGGGCCUUCCACCUCCGCUGGCCUAAGCAGUCAAGUGUCAGAGAGCACUGGACCUAACAGCUCCCUCACCAGAGCAGCUGUGAUUCCUUCUUCAUUUCCAGCAGGGAAGACCCAACAACUUUUAUAAUAUGGGAUUUCUUUUAUUCUCAUGAUAAUAAUGUUCAUUGUGGAAAAUAAAAAAAAAUGAUAAAAUAAAAAUCAGCCAGAAUUCCAACUUCUGGAGAUUUUGGUGUCUUUCUGCAAAGUUCCUAUGCACAUAGAUACUUUAUAAAAUUAUGAACAUACUGUACAUACAGUUUUGGAAUAUGCCUUUUUCCUUCUGUCAUGAAAAAGUCUUCAAAUGCCUUUUAACAGCUACACAAUAGUUCACUACAUGAACCAACUCAAAUGUAACUAUUUUUGGCCUUUUGUUAUAAAUAACACAAGAACCCUCAGUCUUUGUUACAUAAUGUCCUAACAGAGUAGGGGAAAUGCUCCCCAAUCCGGUGCAAUGUCCUGUGCCCAGGGAAACCAAUU
rnacentral:lncRNA from 10 species